UACGUAGGGUGCAAGCGUUGUCCGGAAUUAUUGGGCGUAAAGAGCUCGUAGGCGGCUUGUUGCGUCAGCUGUGAAAACCUGCAGCUUAACUGUGGGCGUGCGGUCGAUACGGGCAUCACUGGAGUUCGGCAGGGGAGACUGGAAUUCCUGGUGUAGCGGUGAAAUGCGCAGAUAUCAGGAGGAACACCGGUGGCGAAGGCGGGUCUCUGGGCCGAUACUGACGCUGAGGAGCGAAAGCGUGGGGAGCGAACAGG
rnacentral:rRNA from 1 species